GUGAGGAAUAUUGGACAAUGGGCGCAAGCCUGAUCCAGCCAUGCCGCGUGCAGGAAGACGCAUCUAUGGUGUGUAAACUGCUUUUGUACGGGAAGAAACACUCCCUCGUGAGGGAGCUUGACGGUACCGUAAGAAUAAGGAUCGGCUAACUCCGUGCCAGCAGCCGCGGUAAUACGGAGGAUCCAAGCGUUAUCCGGAAUCAUUGGGUUUAAAGGGUCCGUAGGCGGUUUAAUAAGUCAGUGAUGAAAGCCCAUCGCUCAACGAUGGAACUGCCAUUGAUACUGUUAGACUUGAAUUACAAGGAAGUAACUAGAAUAUGUAGUGUAGCGGUGAAAUGCUUAGAUAUUACAUGGAAUACCAAUUGCGAAGGCAGGUUACUACUUGUGGAUUGACGCUGAUGGACGAAAGCGUGGGGAGCGAACAGGAUUAGAUACCCUUGUAGUCC
rnacentral:rRNA from 1 species